rnacentral:rRNA from 1 species
UACGUAGGGUGCAAGCGUUGUCCGGAAUUAUUGGGCGUAAAGAGCUCGUAGGCGGUUUGUCGCGUCUGCUGUGAAAACCCGAGGCUCAACCUCGGGCCUGCAGUGGGUACGGGCAGACUAGAGUGGCGGUAGGGGAGAUUGGAAUUCCUGGUGGUAAGCGGUGGAAUGCGCAGAUAUCAGGAGGAACACCAAUGGCGAAGGCAGAUCUCUGGGCCGUAACUGACGCUGAGGAGCGAAAGCAUGGGGGAGCGAAACAGG